rnacentral:lncRNA from 1 species
ACAAAAGCUGCGCAGCAAAUACAGGACCCCUUCCCCCUUCGGAUCGUCUUCUUCACAUACCCCCCCCCCCCCGCCCCCCUUUGACCUCAUCCUUCAUCAUCAGCCAUCGAUCCCAAAUGACCGAAGACCCUCCAGUCGUCGCCUCCUGCACAAAACCAGCGAGAACGGGCCCUCCAAUCUCUCUCGAUCUCUGAGAACGACGAGCAGUAGCGGACCCCUCCCAUCGCCGAAAAUUCGAAAACAGCCCGACCUUCACCCAACUCCCUCACCUCGUCUCACCUCUCCGCGGUCCAUUCCGCCAGCAACCCCAUAUCCGGCGAGCUUCAUCCUCACACACACAUAUACAGACAGAACAACAGUGUGACCUCCUCGUUCAAUACGUCCUUUGGCUGUUUCACUCUCAGAUCUGUUGAUCUUCCUUGGUUUGGUGUUUUCACCCCCACUGUCAUUACUGCUUCUUCCAUUUGCCAUUAGCUAUGCCAUUUUCGGAUAGGAUUAUGAAACUCUGCUAAAAUGCACACUAAAUGGAAUGAAGCAGAUCCAAAUCGCUAGUCACUGUUGCAAUCCGUUGAUUUUAUUAUUUGGUUUAAUUCGAGUUUUCACGCGAGUUUUGAGUUGUAGUCUGAGGUUUCCAAUGGGGUUUUCCGGCCAAGUUCCGGCUUUAGUUCCUAUUCACACAGUGUUAUUGCAAUCGGAAAGGCCAUCAUUUUAAGUUAAGUAGUGAUUUCCGGCGUGGUUCUCGAUCGAGAAAGUGCACGGUUCUGUCGAGGUUGUACAAGUCAUGACUGGUCGUUGUAUGAAUCCUGCUUGGAGGCCUUAUUCAAUGAGAAAUCCUUGCUUCAGUUGAGGUUCAUUCUCAAUUUUUUUCCACUAUUGAUUUGUUGAAUGAUAUGUUUGUUUGAUUUUGAUACAUCAUUUGAUUAUUUUAUUUUAGUUGAAAUAUCUUGAACGAGUAUUGAGUGCUUGGUUGAAUUGUUGGAUCUUGAAAACAAAAGAAAAUUUUAACUACAUGAAGCCAUGAAAUAUGAUACUCUCACUUGUGUUAGUUGGACCAUUAAUUGUUACCUUACUGGAUUUAGGUUCAGAAUAAAUUGGGAACGAUUUGGUUGCCUCAGUUGAAAUUAGGCCUUUAACACCUUCACUUGAGCAAUUAAAUAAAUUUAUAUGAGUGGAUGAAAAUUAUCACCAAGCCCAACUAAUUUGUCAAAUGAAUUCCAAACCUCUAAACAAGCUUGAGUGCUUUUGUAAUUUUUUUUAAAAUUCAUGAACACUUUGUCCAACAAAUGAAUAUCUAUAGUUUCGGACUUUCAAUAAUUCCAAAUUGAAUAUAGGCAACUUAUAAAUGCGUAGUUGCUUUAAGCGCGUUGUUUUAAUAAUAUUACUUUCCUAAACUCGGGUGUGCAUUUCAUGUGACCCAAAUUCAAAUCUUAACAACGUUAAAUAAAAUGUGUCUCGGAAUGCGGGUGCAUUUCAUGUGGCGUGAUCCAAAGACAUGUUUUAGAUGACGUUGAAAUCUUCCUUAAAAUAAUUAAAAGCGGUUUAAGGUUAAAAUGCGCAUAGGUUCAAAAUUGUUUAAAAUUAGAUAAUUAAGCCGAAUAUAACAGUUGAGCGACCGUUCUAGAACCACGGAACUCGGGAAUGCCUAACACCUUCUCUCGGGUUAACAGAAUUCCUUACUCGGAUUUCUAGUUCGCGGACUGUUAAACAAAGUCAAGCUUUUCCUCGAUUCGGGAUUCAACCGGUGACUUGGGAUACCAUAAAUUAUCCCAAGUGGCGGCUCUGAAUCUUUUACUAAUAAAUCCCGUUUCAAUUGUUACUUUAAGUUGGAAAAAACUCCCUUAUAUACUCCCUUCUGGGUAUAUAGUGAAAAAGAAGGUGUGACCCCGGCCUCUGACGGCUACAGUAGGGGGAACGGGUGCCUAAUCAUCUAGGGUAGUACGUGUCCUCACCAUCUAUGAGAGAAUAAAAGAAAGAAGUUUAUAGUUGUGACAUCAAAAUCUCGCAUGUCAAGGAAAUCAAAUGAAGUGGAAUCUUCCUAAAAGUUGCAUAGCCUCUCGCAGAUAAGUACAGACGUCUUCGUACCGAUCCCCGAAACUCUAAUAAACCAGCUUGUGAUUUAUUACUCCUAUGAACCUAGAGCUCUGAUACCAACUUGUCGCGACCCCAGUUCACCCUCCGUGAACUAUCAUGACGGAACCUAGUCUCUACGACAAGGUAAGCCUAACAAAUGCGGAAAAGAAAUAAUUUGCGGAAAGAAAAUAAUAUAAAACUGAAAUAACAACAUGAAAUAGUGUUUAAGAUGCCGCCUAGCACCAAACAGUACAAGAAUCUCAACCUAACACUUCCUAGAAUCCGGAUCCCUAUGAAUCACAAGCUAAGAGAUACAUAAGAAACUCUAACUCCAGAAAUGUCUAACAAAAGAAAAAUACAAAAGGGCUAUACUAUUAUAGAAAGAUAGAAAGAGACUCCUUGGUAUGCGGACGUGGCAGAUAUAGCUCGAAGUCUCUGCAGAAGUGCCCUCGCCUCAAGGAUGAUAAGACUGAGUGGAAGUACCUGGAUCUGCACAUGAAAAACAUGCACAUAAAGGGCAUGAGUACACUAUAGUGGUACUCAGUAAGUGCCAAGCCUAACCUCGGUCGGGUAGUGACGAGGAAAGUCAGGGCCCUACUGAGGUUAAACAAAAUACAAGGUGUAACAGUGUAAAUAUAAGAUAGUAUAAUAAGUGCAACAGUAAGGAGUAACACAGAAUAGAAAGAACAGCAACAACUACUACAGAGGCAAAGUAAACACAGAGAGAAAUACAGCUCAACACAAAAAUAACAACUGGGGAUCUUCCAGGAUACCGUCCUGUAGUCCCAAAUAGAAAUAUCUAGUGGAUCUCCCAGAAUACCGUCCCGUAGUCCAUCUCAUAAUGUGAAGGGAUCUCCCGAAAUACCGAUCCGUAGACACAAAUAUAAAUACUCAAUACAUGAGGAAUCUACCGGGUGCAUUCUCGUAGUUCCAAUGUAAAUGUGCAGGGGGAUCUCCCGGAAUACCAUUCCAUAGUCCCAAAAUAAACACUCAGCAACAACAAGAAGAAUACACAGUUCAAUUCAAAUUCCAUACUAAGGUAAAACAGGUAUUUCUAGCCUAGCAUGCUGUACGUAAUCCAAAUAAGGCAGUUUGAGCAAGUAAAGCAAUUAAGUCAAUUAGACAUGCUUCCCUAAACUAACAACAAGCUUAAAUUUAAAGUAGUAUAAACAUGAAAAAGAAACAUAGUUAAAAUUACUUAAAGAAAAAUUGAAUUUUUCAACAAUUAGCACAAGCACGCACUCGCCACCUCACGUACAAGGCAUUUCAAGUAUCAAUAAUAUUAAAUCCUAAGGGGAGUUUCCCCACACAAGGUUAGGCAAGCCAUUUACCUCAAACCGGCUCAAAAUCAACCCGAAACCACGUUCUUGCCAUGAGUACUCGACUCCAAAUGGCCCAAAUAUAUUCAAUUCAAUUGCAUAAUGUAAAUAACACUUCAAGCAAUUGAUUCCACAAAUAAAUUCUAAGCUAAUACGCGAAAUUAAGUAAAAUGACCAAAAUGCCCUCUGGGUCCACAUUUCAGAAUUGGGUAAAAUUUACAUUUUCAGAAUUCUCAUACUCUCACGAGUCUAACCAUACCAAAAUUAUCCAAAUCCAUUUUCAAAUCCCCAAUCAAAACUCAAAAUUUUGGUCUAAGAACUUUCCCCCAAUUUUCAUACAAAUUCCGAAAUUAAAUGAUGAAUUCAUGUUUAGAUUAAUGAGUUACAAGCAAAAAGGAGUUAAGAAUCGUUACCCAGUCGAUAUCUCUGAAAAUCCCUCAAAACCUCGCUCAAAAUCUGAGCUCCCAAGCUCUAGUUUUCACAAAAAUGGCUAAACCCUCGAUUUUGAACUUAAACAUUCUGCCCAGGUAUUUCCUUCUUCGCAAAUGCGGAAGGACCCUCGCGUUCAUGAAGCACAACUCCACUUGGGUCCAGCUUUCCUUCAUCGCGAACGCGAUGCCCUGGUCGCAAACGCAGUGCACAAUCUCUUCCUCCUACGUGAACGCGGGAACACCAUCGCGAACGCGUAGGUAUAAGACCUCCCAGCUUCGAGAACGCGGGAGACACUUCGAGAACGCGAAGCAUUAAAUCCUCACCAACCCCAGCUCCUCUUCGUGAAUGCGAGACCCCACUCGCGAACGCGAAGAAGGAAACUAGAACUGACUACUGCAACAUUUUUCUGCAAUUUCUAAGUUCCAAAAUGACCCGUUGAGCAUCCGAAACACACCCGAGGCCCCGAGACCUUAACCAAACAUGCCAACCAAUCCUAAAAUAUCAUUCAAACUAGUUCCAAUCUUCGGAACGCUCAAAACAAUAUCAAAACACCAAUUAAACAACAGAUUCAAGCCUAAGAACUCCAAAAACUCUCAAAUUAUGCUUUCGAUCAAAAGGUCUAUCAAACCUCGCCCGAAUGACCUGAAAUUUUGCAAGCACGUCAGAUUCAAUACUACAGAGCUAUUCCAACUUCCGGAAUCCCAUUAUGACUCCGAUAUCAAAAUCUCACUAUCGAAUCGGAAACUUCAAAAAUUUGACUUUCGAUAUUUCAAGCCUAAAUAAACUACGGACCUCCAAAACAUAAUCCGAACACGUCCCUAAGCCCAAAAUCACCCAAUGGAGCUAACAGAACCGACAAAAUUCCAUUCUGAGGCCGUCUUCAUACUGCUCCGACUACGAUCCAAAUUCUAAAGUUUAAGCUCUCAUUUAGGGACUAAGUGUCCCAACACACUCCGAAACUCAAAACCAAAUAUCCCGGGGAAUAAAAAUAGCAGAAACAAAUACGAAAAAACAGUUAAUAGAAGAUUGGGGCGUUAAUUAUUAAAACGACCAGCCGGGUCGUUACACUUGAUUAAUGGAUAGUACUCAUUGUAUCUUUGAAUUAUAGAUGUUAAAUUGCAAAAGGCUUUAACAUGAAAAUCAUAUGUUUGAUUGUAUUUAUUCAAAAUGGUUUAGUUUUAUCAUGAACAAUGAUUUGAUGAAAAUAGAUCCAUUGAGGCUAACAUGCUAUGAAUCUAUUUUUGAACUAUCAAAUAUUUUGGGAGUUACUAGUGGAGACCGCCGAGAUUGGUUCGAAUGUUGAGUUCGUUACCAUGAAACUACACGUGCUGGUGUAGGGACACAUUCCAAGGUUAUCCAAGGUUUGUAGAAUAAAAUCCCCCAUUGUGAGGAAAAAUGAUCAUUACUUAAAGUAAUGAGGUUAAGUCGACUCGUACGACACUAAGGAAAACCGCCCAGAUAAGUAGGGCCAAAUACUAUCUAGGUCGAUCACCUAGUAGUUGUUUAUUUUGUCAAUGUCAGUGUAGUACUUCCGGUAAAAAGGUAUAGGAUAAAUUUGUUAUGUUUAGGGCUAAGGAGCAGAAAGUGAUUUCAAUGACUUAAUAAAGUUGAAAUAAUUUUGAAUGAUUUUGUUAGGAUCACGGGUUGACAUAACAAUUUUAAAAGUUUGUAUCAUGGUUUACAUUUUUCCAGUCAUUUCAUUUAAAAUGAUAAAGAGCAUGAAUUGAUAUAAUUGUUAUCAUUCUAUAUCAAAUAUUAAUUGCAUUAUUUUUGUAAAGUCUUGUCUCAGGAACUUGAGUUAGAGAGAGUCUAUAAUACUUAUUAGUACCGUCGUGGUGUACUCAGCCCCUAUGGGACCCUCUCUAGGGUCACACUUAUUUUACGUGUUUUCAAAAUAAGAUGUGGUAUGUGGUGAGUGGAUGAGUCUAGGAUGACUCUCUUUCCGAGGCGUAUAGCAAGACGCCGCUUCUAUUCCGUGGUAGCAUUCAUUUUGAUCUUACUUACUUCUGGUUGGGAUUUGUCCCAAGUAUUUAUUUCAUCCUUGUAUCUUAGAUAUUCCACAGAUAGAUGUUAUUCUUUUAGAGUUGUAAUCGAGACUUAUUCAUAUAGCAUGCAUCAA